GACAAAUGCAAGCAGCAGAACUUGCUAGUGAGUUUGAGGAGGUUACUGUCUGCCGGGUGUGCACCAAGUCUGCACCACGGUAUCUCCAGCUUUUCAAGAAAAAUACUUCAAGCAGGCAUCAGGCCAUGCAGCAAGUUCAGACAAAGCCUGGUACCAAAACUGACUGCAAAUGGGAGAGGUUUAGGGUUGCUCCUCCACCUUGAGCCUUGAGUCAUCAUGGAAAUAUGUGCUCCUCAAGGGGUACCGCAGAGUCAAAACUCACAGCACAGUUAUUUCACGACUGGCACGGAAGUCAGCGGGCAGAACAUGGUGCUGGAGAAACGCGCUGCGAGCGUGGUCGAGGCUGGGAUGUGCCUGCCGCGCACGGACCCUCCUGAGCUGGGGCAUGACAUCCUUUACUAGGACCGCUUUAGAAAGGGGUCUUGCAGCAAGGGCAGGAGGAGAAAAGCAGCAGCUUUUGCCUGUGUGACAAACUGCCUUCACUGCUGGAUGGGAUUUGGCUACCUCAUCUAAGUAAAUAAGUAGUUAACAAAAGGAGGCAAUCUACACAAGAACUGAAAGGGGGCACAAUUUAAAAAAUGAGUAAUACAUGUUGCCUGUAAGUAGUGACACAUGGUAACAGAAAGCACAGUAUUCUGAAAGGGGAAAAAAUCGACAGCGGUAUGUCCCUUAAAUAUCUUUGUGUGAAAUUCCUCCGACCUGAUAUUGAGCUAUGAAAUCAUUGAGCAGUCCACCACCAGAUGUCAGCAUUGCAGAAUGGUCAUUCCUGCCACGAAGAGAAAAGGUCUUCACGCCCUGCAGCACCACCCAACUCCAGCACUUGCAAGGCGUAUUCAGCUGUGUGGAGAAGCUGGAUUUCAUUCUUUUCUAUUACGUAUACACUGUGGGCCAAGUUUUGCACUCCUCUUGAGCUUGACCCCUGUGUGUUUCAGCUAUUUGUGUACAAAAUAAGGCGGUACUGAACAAAGCAAGAUACACUGAAAACUUCCUGCCCAGAAAAGCUCAUCCUGUAGAGCAAUGGACCAGACAAUAGAACAGAUUUACACAAAUGUAGAGCCGAGAACGUUCAUUAGGAGCAUAUUGAGCAGGUGUAGCUGCACAUUUCUGCAGGACGCUACCCCUACCAGGCUGCCGUCCGACUGACUCCAGAGCUGCCGGA
rnacentral:lncRNA from 1 species